rnacentral:tRNA from 1 species
GUGCCAGGUCAGGCCGAGGUCGGCGGUCUCGGCGGCCUUGGGCGCCGCCUCCUGGUCGCGGUUCUCGCCCACGUCGGUCACCCC